rfam:Picea glauca, whole genome shotgun sequence.
ACAUGCCUACAACAUAGCGUUAAUGCACCAGAUCCCAUUAGAACUCUGUAGUUAAGCGCACUCAGGCUAGAGUAGUAUUGGGAUGGGUGACUGCCUAAGAAGUCUUUGUUUUACAUGCC